rnacentral:rRNA from 1 species
AUGGAACAUCUAUUGACACACCUUAUUCGGCAUGGUAUCCUUGGUUGCAUCAUCUAUUGCAAUUGUUGGUUUGAAGUUGCCAGAGAUGUUUAUGUUCCAGGAAUAGUUCAAUUCAGUGUAGGAGACGGGGAGGCUGAAGACCUGCUUCCUCAAUCUCAAUUAUUGGAGCUGCUGGUUUCAAGACUACAGAUGCUGCUUAUAUUCCAUGAAUAUUUUGAUUCAGGGAAGGAGAAGGGAACGGGGAUGAACUGCUGCAUCAACUAUUGCAGUUGUGGAGGCUCAGGCGCUGCAGACGUUUUUGUUCCCAUGAAUAUUUGGAUUCACUGA